UUGCAAAAGACAAUCAUUAUCACUACAAAAAACAAGAUCAAAGGGGACAAAAUUUAGGGACCAUAAUAUUUAAAUGGUCCCUAAAAGUUAUAACUCAAUAAAAAUGGGGACUAAUCGAUAAGUUGUCUCCAAAUCAUUUAUCAUACAACUAUUGGGGACGGAGAUAGUGAAUUACCUAUGAUUUUAUAUGAAAUAGUAAUUCAAGUAGAAUAGGAGACAAAACACAUUCAACCUAGCAAAAAAGCCACCGACCUUUUUCUUUUCUUGCGCCGGCUAAAUAGACAAAAGUAUGAGAUUCUAAAAGUUCAUUCACCCAAGCUUAAAUUUUCUACUCGAAUUCAUCUGGUUUCUGAAUAAUCAUUACAACCCAUAAUCAAUACCUCUCCGUGAAAUUUACUUCUUCCAGAAGUGUUGGAAUGUACUCAUUCGUGCUACUCUUCAAGGAUACUUUUAUCGAUUUCAAGGUUCUCCAUCCUCUCGGUUCCCUUCAACUCGUAAUGUGGUAUUGCAUAGUUGAGCUAUUAUUUUAUAAUUAUGUUUGUUCUUGUAGCUUCAUGUCUUUUCAUCAUUUUCUCUAGUUUGAUAUGCUUGUAGGUUUCAAUUCACAAUCAUAGUCAUUUGACAAGCUCAUAUUGUGCCAUUGCUUGGUUUCUAUAAUUUGCCAAUUCUCAAUUCUAAGUCAAUUAGUAACCUGCAGCAACAUGAUGGCAGAUAAGCUUUUUUUUUUCUUUGGACUCUAAUUAUUUCUUAGAAGCUGACUUUUCAUUCUUUUCCAUACUUGAGUUGUUACUAACAGACUCCCUAGGUUAAUGCAUUGUGUAUAUGUCUUAGCUUCUUAUCAUUGUUCUCCAAUUAAAUUCAUAUCCAUAUUGAGAGAAUCUUUUGAUUCAUAUACUGUGUAGGUAGUAAUAAUGAUAGAAAAAACCUAUCUUGUACCUUAAUAAGGUUCUCUAAGCUAAAUUUAUAUAUUCAUUUGACUCAAAUAAUAUGUAUCAGCGGCCAUCUAUUAUAUGUUGGAAAAUUGGAGUGAGAUGGACAAGGAGAAUGCAAAUGGUGACAUCUUAAAAUACCAAGUAUGUUUGAUUUUUCAUUUUGUAAGUUUUAAUCUUUUUUGUUUUAGAUUAUUUUACAGUCUCUCUGUUUCGGUCAUAUGAUGGUGGAUUCGGGAUGGUUCCUAGCUCAGAAUCUAAAGGACGAUGUGUAAUCAGGCAAAAGAAUAUCAUUCAUUUUCAUGAAGACUUCUCAGCAAGCUAAUAUUAUUUUUUGCAUUGUGUAUACAUUAUUAUCUUAGUACUUUUAAUUUUUUUAAAUAAGUUUUAGUGGAUUAAUUUUUAGCUACGUACUUCUUUUUUUUUGAACUCAGCAAUGUACUUUUCUUAUGUUGGACAUAAUUUUAAAAUCAAUGGAUUAUUGUUUUCAUUA